UCCAACUAUCUGUUUUUAUACAGACAUCCGCCAUUUACACUAAAAGUACGUUACUCCUGUUAAAUAACCACAAAUCAAAACCUGUGCCGUUUCAGAGCUUACACACCAGCCUCUACGCCGUGCAGAUGCUAAUAUCUGUGUGUGUUAGUUUGUGUUACUGAGUAACCACUUCUCCAGCUUACAUUAUGUGAUGUCAAAUGAUGUCAUAAUGUAAAUCUCACCAAGGCAUUAAUCAUCAACAAAUGUUAAGUGACCCAGCUGAUACACC